UUGAACGCUGGCGGCAUGCCUUACCAUGCCAAGUGAAAGGGAGGCCGGGGGGUUUCCCCUGGUGGGGGGGGGCGAACGGGGGGGGAAUUCCUUCGGACAUGGUCUGUAGGGGGGGAAAGGCCGGGGAAAGCCGGGAUUAUAACCGCAACCAACUACGGAUGAAAGGGGGGGGACCUCCGGGCCUGCCGCUAGGGGGUGGGCGAUGGCUGAUUAGCUAGUUGGUGGGGUAAAGGCCUACCAAGGCGACGAUCAGUAGCUGGUCUGAGAGGACGACCAGCCACACUGGGACUGAGACACGGCCCAGACUCCUACGGGAGGCAGCAGUGGGGAAUUUUGGACAAAGGGCGAAAGCCUGAUCCAGCAAUGCCGCGUGUGUGAAGAAGGCCUUCGGGUUGUAAAGCACUUUUGUCCGGAAAGAAAUCCUUGGCCCUAAUACGGUCGGGGGAUGACGGUACCGGAAGAAUAAGCACCGGCUAACUACGUG
rnacentral:rRNA from 1 species